CCUGCUACUCAGCAUUUUGGCUAAGAUCACGUGUAGAAUCAGACCUGUUGUUCCCAGUUUAAUAUCUGAUACACCUUCCAUUGGAUGAUAAUAUACUAAAUGGAUUUUUUGGAGCAGGGAGAUGGAAUAGGAGCUUGCUCUAUCCACUCCACACAGCACCCAGAUACUUUAGUGCCCCCAGGAAUGAUGCACCCUUU